rnacentral:rRNA from 1 species
UCGUGGAUUAAUUUGUCUGGUUAAUUCCGUUAACGAACGAGACCCUAACUUGCUAAUUGGGAUGCUAUAUUUUAUAUUGUAUCCUGUUAGAAGGACCAUGUGUGUCUAACACAAGGAAGCGUGAGGCAAUAACA